GAGGGUAUAGCUCAGUGGUAGAGUCUAACACGCACAAGGGCGUGGGUUCAAUCCCCAGUACCUCCA
rnacentral:tRNA from 1 species